GUAGUGUAACGGUUAAGUGCUUGGCUGCUAACCAAAAGGUUGGUGGUUCAAACCCACCC
rnacentral:tRNA from 1 species